CUCGGCAUCGAGGAAAGAUGAAAGGUGGCCUCUAUUUAUAAGCUAUCACUGAAGGAGGGGAUUGCGUCUGAUUAGCUAGUUGAAGGGGUAACGGCCCACCAAGGCGAUGAUCAGUAGCCGGUCUGAGAGGAUGAACGGCCACAUUGGGACUGAGACACGGCCCAGACUCCUACGGGAGGCAGCAGUGGGGAAUCUUCCGCAAUGGACGAAAGUCUGACGGAGCAACGCCGCGUGAGUGAUGACGGCCUUCGGGUUGUAAAGCUCUGUUAAUCGGGACGAAAGGUUCUUGCGAAUAGUGAGAAGGAUUGACGGUACCGGAAUAGAAAGCCACGGCUAA
rnacentral:rRNA from 1 species